AAACAUGUCUUUUUGAAUUAAAUUUAAAGUCUGACCUGCCCACUGAAUAAUUUUAAAUGGCCGCAGUAUUUUGACUGUGCAAAGGUAGCAUAAUCAUUAGUCUUUUAAUUGGAGGCUGGUAUGAACGGUUGGACGAAGUAUAAGCUGUUUCAUAUAAAUUUAUAAUAGAAUUUUAUAUUUUAGUUAAAAAGCUAAAAUUUUAUUAAAAGACGAGAAGACCCUAUAAAUCUUUAUAUUUAAUAUAAACUAAAUUUUUUUGAUUUAUUUUAUUUUUUUUAUAUUAAUUAUUUUGUUGGGGUGAUAUUAAAAUUUAAUGAACUUUUAAUUUUUUUAAAUCAUUAAUUUAUGAAUUAUUGAUCCAUUAAUAUUGAUUAUAAGAUUAAGUUACUUUAGGGAUAACAGCGUAAUUUUUUUUGAGAGUUCAUAUCGACAAAAAAGUUUGCGACCUCGAUGUUGGAUUAAGGUAUAAUUUUGGGUGUAGCCGUUCAAAAAUUAAGUCUGUUCGACUUUUAAAUCCUUACAUGAUC
rnacentral:rRNA from 1 species